AAGUGAAUGAUAAUGGGCAGUUACAGCCUCUGUAAACAUCCUUGACUGGAAGCUGUGAAAUAAUGAUAGUAGCUUUCAGUCGGAUGUUUACAGCUGCUAGCUGCUGCAGUCCUCUUUUACAUGG
rnacentral:pre_miRNA from 14 species